rnacentral:rRNA from 1 species
AUUGAACGCUGGCGGCAGGCUUAACACAUGCAAGUCGAGCGGAGUGAUAGUGCUUGCACUAUCACUUAGCGGCGGACGGGUGAGUAAUGCUUAGGAAUCUGCCAUUUAGUGGGGGACAACAUUCCGAAAGGAAUGCUAAUACCGCAUACGUCCUACGGGAGAAAGCAGGGGAUCUUCGGACCUUGCGCUAAAUGAUGAGCCUAAGUCGGAUUAGCUAGUUGGUGGGGUAAAGGCCUACCAAGGCGACGAUCUGUAGCGGGUCUGAGAGGAUGAUCCGCCACACUGGGACUGAGACACGGCCCAGACUCCUACGGGAGGCAGCAGUGGGGAAUAUUGGACAAUGGGCGGAAGCCUGAUCCAGCCAUGCCGCGUGUGUGAAGAAGGCCUUUUGGUUGUAAAGCGCUUUAAGCGAGGAGGAGGCUCUCCUAGUUAAUACCUAGGAAGAGUGGACGUUACUCGCAGAAUAAGCACCGGCUAACUCUGUGCCAGCCGCCGCCGUAAGAC